ensembl:lncRNA
AUUUGCUAGAGCACAUGGUCUGGAGUUCUCUGAUUAGAUCUGUCUCAUCAUCAGAGCAGAGAGACAGACCCACAGCAACUCCAUCACUGAGUCUGCAGGAACACACAGUACAUACGGUACAUAAUGACUGAAUAACACUGCCAUCUGCUGGUAGUACAAACAUAUGCAUAGCAGCUAGAGCUCCUCCCAGAGGCGGGGCUACCUUUCUUCCUUGGACUGGUAUUGGCUCGUCUCCAAGCCCCAUUAUCACGUCCUUUUCUGCCACCUUUCCUGUAGGCGGAGCCAAUGGUGGAAAGAGGGAAACAUCCUCCCUGGAACUCGGGUAAGAACCUGAAGAUAUAGGGUCCCAACAAGGCCUCUGAGGUCCCCAGACGCGACAGGCAGGCGUUGAGCUGGUGCCACACUGAGCACACCCAUGAAAGCGAUUUGUGUACAGGAUCAUCAGAUGUCCAGCACUGGCCCCGAGCCUGUGAAGCCAUAGAAAAACUUGAUUAAAGGGACAGUUCACUAAAAACUGAUUCAUUUACUCUCAUUCCAAACCCAUUUUUUCUUUCAUUUGUCACACUAGGAGCAAUUUUGAACAAUGUACUGUUCAAAAAGAUGCAAAGCACCAAAA